CAUCUCAUUUAAGACGUGACCAAGAUAUCUUUUUAAACCAGACCCCAGAUAUUCAUAUCUAAUUCUUUCAAACUUUAAACUUAAGCAAAUAGAUACAACAUAUGCGAUAUGGAAAGCAAGACAAAGUGUGAUAUGGAAACAACAUAUUGCAGGAAUUUUAAUGGAACAUACAAAUGUCUUUGUAAACCUGGAUAUCAAGAAACAACAGAUCCGUAUUAUUGCACAGACAUUAAUGAGUGUACAGAUCAAUAUUAUUCCUGUCAUGGUGGAGAAUGCAUUAAAUACCUGGUGGCUGGUAUUGUGACUGUCCUGCAGGUUACACGAAUGAAUCUGCCGAAUUUGGUUCUAGACAUGUAAUAUGUAAAGAUAUUAAUGAGUGUUUAGAUGUCGGUGUGGCGUGUGUAAACGCAUCUGGCUGUGUAAACACUGUUGGAAGUUGGAAAUGCAUAUGCAGCGAAGGACUAAAAGAGACAGCGUGGAACGAAACUAGCAAAAUUUGCACUGGGGAGUACCAGUAUGUUGCUUCCGUGAGUUUUACAUUAAUCGGUGAAGUCACAGAUGUUGGAAGCUUACAAAUAGCAAUCAAGUAAAAGGUA